CUGAAAGGUAUUUUUGAAGAGUAUGGUGACAGAGUUUGCAUACUUAUUUUGUAACUAAGGAUAACAGGCUUUGCAACAUUUUUGCUGGGUUUUAAAGCAUACAUUGUAGGUUGAAAGACUAAUUUCUAAUUAAAACUUAUGCAUUCUCUUUCCUUUGCUCGUAAGAAGAAAGCUAUGGAUGAAAUCCACUGGAAAAAAGUGAGUUAAAAUGGGACACAGAGAGGGGGCAGGGGAAAAAUAUGUUUAUUUUUAAGUGCAGCAUGGCAUCAUUCUGUUAUAAAAAUCUGGCACAAAAUGAUUUUCUGAAGUGCUGAGAACCUACAGCUCCUUUGAAUUCAACAGGGGAUCGUAGCGCUCAGCAGACUCCUUAGGGAAUCAGGCCACAUUACUUCAACUUUCCGAAAUUUAAGCCUGCAAAACUUACUUCACAUGUCCUGUUUGGCAUAGGUGGUUGCUCUAGCUGGAGUUAAUGGGACACUUGAUCGUCAUUCAGUUGGCAUAGGUGCAGAAGAUUAGCAGCUAGGUACACACCUCAGAUAGCACAGAUGCAAUCCAUCUCACUGAAGACCAAUAAAGGCUGUAGCUUGUGCCAGUCGCACCAGGCCCCAGUUAAUGGAGGACACAGGUGCUGCUCAGGCACAGUUCAUCCUUCCCAAACCCAGCACACAAACUAAACCACAUCAGUAUUCAGGAGCCUGUGUGUGCAGCACAAACAGCAGUAGGAUGUUGCAGUGGAUGUUGCUGACUUGCAUUAGUAUCACUCUGGCUUUUGAUGCAUUUGCUUCUGGAGCUCAGAAGAAAUGGGUGGAAAGAGAGGAGUGUUGGGAAUGCAGGGUCAAAACAGGUCUGGUGGCAGCUGGAAAGAGUUGAUGCUGGAAAUUAAGUCAGACCCGUGGUGGUUGCUGCCAUGUUUCUGCACUGCCCGUAGAGCAUCGCUCCUGCUGGCCCACUGCAACAACUCCGUUUGUCAUUCUGCUAUUUGAAAUAAUGACUUUGGUAAAAUUAUGAUUUAUUUAUUUAUUUAUUUAUUUUGUUAUUAUUAUGAAAGACUGGUGUUUUCUUUACUGAUGUUGUUAAGGAGACUGUACCAUCCCUACACAUCCCACCAGCAGCAUGAUGUGUGAAGCUUAAUGGGGGCUUUGGACCUGGAGAAAGGGUCCAUGCACCCAGUGACCUGCCUGUUCUUCCUAGGCCGGUCAGUAGCCCUAAUAAAAGAUGUUUCUCCCCCCA
rnacentral:lncRNA from 1 species